AUGGAAGCAGGUGCAGUCAGGCCACCACACGCUCAUCUUAUGCCAUCCGCCAGGUUCGCUUUUAUUGCACUCACAUUCUUGUGCUCUUCAGAAAUGCACUGCAUAAUGUCAGUGUCACGUUCAGACCGUUGGCGACCAAAGGAGUUUUCUGUCACACAGCACAGUAUCUCAUCAAAUUAAGCGAGCUCCCAUUUGUAACACUUUUCAGUUCUGCAAUAUCCCAGCGGUACAUCACAUGGAAUCACACACCUCUGGGACAAGACACACCUCUAUGACGGCUUAUCAUAGUGACACAUCUCAAGACUUAAUCAACACAUGAUUAAUCAGCACUGUUUGCGUGACAACGGCUCUGUCACCAGUAGAACAGUUGAUCCCAUUAUGUCAUAAUCACCAUAUGAUGAUGUAACUCCAAUAUUUGUUUAUAAACAAGCAUCUCUGAUAAUCAGAAAUGAGAUGAAUUAGUUGAGGCAUGUCCAGGAAUAAAGAACUGUUAUGUAACAGCAUUCCUUGUUUUCUAUAUUGUUAGACAGCUCAAUUGAAUUUGUUGCGUUCUUCUAUAAUUUGAUAGUCUGAGUGCGUCAACACUAGUGAAGUUUACUCUAAUAAACAUACAGCCUCAUUAAGAGACUCUUGAGUCUCUAAAUCCCCUACAAAUCCAAUUAAGCUUUGUUAGGGUGAAGGGGCAGCCCAGUGUCCAAGGGGGUGGGGCUUGUGUUAGCCCACUGAA